GGUUAAGCGACUAAGCGUACACGGUGGAUGCCCUGGCAGUCAGAGGCGAUGAAGGACGUGCUAAUCUGCGAUAAGCGUCGGUAAGGUGAUAUGAACCGUUAUAACCGGCGAUUUCCGAAUGGGGAAACCCAGUGUGAUUCGUCACACUAUCAUUAACUGAAUCCAUAGGUUAAUGAGGCGAACCGGGGGAACUGAAACAUCUAAGUACCCCGAGGAAAAGAAAUCAACCGAGAUUCCCCCAGUAGCGGCGAGCGAACGGGGAGCAGCCCAGAGCCUGAAUCAGUGUGUGUGUUAGUGGAAGCGUCUGGAAAGGCGCGCGAUACAGGGUGACAGCCCCGUACACAAAAAUGCACAUACUGUGAGCUCGAUGAGUAGGGCGGGACACGUGGUAUCCUGUCUGAAUAUGGGGGGACCAUCCUCCAAGGCUAAAUACUCCUGACUGACCGAUAGUGAACCAGUACCGUGAGGGAAAGGCGAAAAGAACCCCGGCGAGGGGAGUGAAAAAGAACCUGAAACCGUGUACGUACAAGCAGUGGGAGCACGCUUAGGCGUGUGACUGCGUACCUUUUGUAUAAUGGGUCAGCGACUUAUAUUCUGUAGCAAGGUUAACCGAAUAGGGGAGCCGAAGGGAAACCGAGUCUUAACUGGGCGUUAAGUUGCAGGGUAUAGACCCGAAACCCGGUGAUCUAGCCAUGGGCAGGUUGAAGGUUGGGUAACACUAACUGGAGGACCGAACCGACUAAUGUUGAAAAAUUAGCGGAUGACUUGUGGCUGGGGGUGAAAGGCCAAUCAAACCGGGAGAUAGCUGGUUCUCCCCGAAAGCUAUUUAGGUAGCGCCUCGUGAAUUCAUCUCCGGGGGUAGAGCACUGUUUCGGCAAGGGGGUCAUCCCGACUUACCAACCCGAUGCAAACUGCGAAUACCGGAGAAUGUUAUCACGGGAGACACACGGCGGGUGCUAACGUCCGUCGUGAAGAGGGAAACAACCCAGACCGCCAGCUAAGGUCCCAAAGUCAUGGUUAAGUGGGAAACGAUGUGGGAAGGCCCAGACAGCCAGGAUGUUGGCUUAGAAGCAGCCAUCAUUUAAAGAAAGCGUAAUAGCUCACUGGUCGAGUCGGCCUGCGCGGAAGAUGUAACGGGGCUAAACCAUGCACCGAAGCUGCGGCAGCGACGCUUAUGCGUUGUUGGGUAGGGGAGCGUUCUGUAAGCCUGCGAAGGUGUGCUGUGAGGCAUGCUGGAGGUAUCAGAAGUGCGAAUGCUGACAUAAGUAACGAUAAAGCGGGUGAAAAGCCCGCUCGCCGGAAGACCAAGGGUUCCUGUCCAACGUUAAUCGGGGCAGGGUGAGUCGACCCCUAAGGCGAGGCCGAAAGGCGUAGUCGAUGGGAAACAGGUUAAUAUUCCUGUACUUGGUGUUACUGCGAAGGGGGGACGGAGAAGGCUAUGUUGGCCGGGCGACGGUUGUCCCGGUUUAAGCGUGUAGGCUGGUUUUCCAGGCAAAUCCGGAAAAUCAAGGCUGAGGCGUGAUGACGAGGCACUACGGUGCUGAAGCAACAAAUGCCCUGCUUCCAGGAAAAGCCUCUAAGCAUCAGGUAACAUCAAAUCGUACCCCAAACCGACACAGGUGGUCAGGUAGAGAAUACCAAGGCGCUUGAGAGAACUCGGGUGAAGGAACUAGGCAAAAUGGUGCCGUAACUUCGGGAGAAGGCACGCUGAUAUGUAGGUGAAGUCCCUCGCGGAUGGAGCUGAAAUCAGUCGAAGAUACCAGCUGGCUGCAACUGUUUAUUAAAAACACAGCACUGUGCAAACACGAAAGUGGACGUAUACGGUGUGACGCCUGCCCGGUGCCGGAAGGUUAAUUGAUGGGGUUAGCGCAAGCGAAGCUCUUGAUCGAAGCCCCGGUAAACGGCGGCCGUAACUAUAACGGUCCUAAGGUAGCGAAAUUCCUUGUCGGGUAAGUUCCGACCUGCACGAAUGGCGUAAUGAUGGCCAGGCUGUCUCCACCCGAGACUCAGUGAAAUUGAACUCGCUGUGAAGAUGCAGUGUACCCGCGGCAAGACGGAAAGACCCCGUGAACCUUUACUAUAGCUUGACACUGAACAUUGAGCCUUGAUGUGUAGGAUAGGUGGGAGGCUUUGAAGUGUGGACGCCAGUCUGCAUGGAGCCGACCUUGAAAUACCACCCUUUAAUGUUUGAUGUUCUAACGUUGACCCGUGAUCCGGGUUGCGGACAGUGUCUGGUGGGUAGUUUGACUGGGGCGGUCUCCUCCUAAAGAGUAACGGAGGAGCACGAAGGUUGGCUAAUCCUGGUCGGACAUCAGGAGGUUAGUGCAAUGGCAUAAGCCAGCUUGACUGCGAGCGUGACGGCGCGAGCAGGUGCGAAAGCAGGUCAUAGUGAUCCGGUGGUUCUGAAUGGAAGGGCCAUCGCUCAACGGAUAAAAGGUACUCCGGGGAUAACAGGCUGAUACCGCCCAAGAGUUCAUAUCGACGGCGGUGUUUGGCACCUCGAUGUCGGCUCAUCACAUCCUGGGGCUGAAGUAGGUCCCAAGGGUAUGGCUGUUCGCCAUUUAAAGUGGUACGCGAGCUGGGUUUAGAACGUCGUGAGACAGUUCGGUCCCUAUCUGCCGUGGGCGCUGGAGAACUGAGGGGGGCUGCUCCUAGUACGAGAGGACCGGAGUGGACGCAUCACUGGUGUUCGGGUUGUCAUGCCAAUGGCACUGCCCGGUAGCUAAAUGCGGAAGAGAUAAGUGCUGAAAGCAUCUAAGCACGAAACUUGCCCCGAGAUGAGUUCUCCCUGACUCCUUGAGAGUCCUGAAGGAACGUUGAAGACGACGACGUUGAUAGGCCGGGUGUGUAAGCGCAGCGAUGCGUUGAGCUAACCGGUACUAAUGAACCGUGAGGCUUAACCUU
rnacentral:rRNA from 1 species